AAAGCUGCCCAGCCUUUUGGCUAAGAUUGAGUGUAAUAUCUGUUCUUAUCAGUUUAAUAUCUGAUAUGACCCCUAUCCCAGGAUAAUAUAUUAAAUGGACUUUUGGAAAUAGGAGAUAGAUCCAGGCACAGUGGCACGUACCUGAAAUCCCAGUGGCUUGGGAGGCUGAGACUGGAAGAUAGCAAUAUCAAAGCCAGUCUCAGCAACUUAG
rnacentral:snRNA from 1 species